GAUGAACGCUGGCGGCGUGCCUAAUACAUGCAAGUCGAGCGAACGGACGAGAAGCUUGCUUCUCUGAUGUUAGCGGCGGACGGGUGAGUAACACGUGGAUAACCUACCUAUAAGACUGGGAUAACUUCGGGAAACCGGAGCUAAUAUCGGAUGAUAUUUUGAACCGCAUGGUUCAAAAGUGAAAGACGGUCUUGCUGUCACUUAUAGAUGGAUCCGCGCUGCAUUAGCUAGUUGGUAAGGUAACGGCUUACCAAGGCAACGAUGCAUAGCCGACCUGAGAGGAUGAUCAGCCACACUGGAACUGAGACACGGUCCAGACUCCUACGGGAGGCAGCAGUAGGGAAUCUUCCGCAAUGGGCGAAAGCCUGACGGAGCAACGCCGCGUGAGUGAUGAAGGUCUUCGGAUCGUAAAACUCUGUUAGUAGGGAAGAACAUAUGUGUAAGUAACUGUGCACAUCUUGACGGUACCUAAUCAGAAAGCCACGGCUAACUACGUG
rnacentral:rRNA from 1 species